rnacentral:rRNA from 1 species
AGAGUUUGAUCCUGGCUCAGAACGAACGCUGGCGGCGCGUCUUAAGCAUGCAAGUCGAGCGGGAUACGGGGGCUUGCUCCCGGUGAGAGCGGCGGACUGGCGAGGAACGCGUGGGCGACGCGCCCUCCGGAGGGGGACAGCCCGUGGAAACACGGGGUAAUACCCCAUGGCAUGGUUGGCUUGGAGGCCAGCCAUCAAAGGAGCUUCGGCUCCGCCGGGGGAGCGGCCCGCGACCCAUCAGCUAGUUGGCGGGGCAAGGGCCCACCAAGGCUACGACGGGUAUCCGGCCUGAGAGGGCGAACGGACGCAUUGGGACUGAGAUACGGCCCAGACUCCUACGGGAGGCAGCAGCUAAGAAUAUUCCGCAAUGGGCGAAAGCCUGACGGAGCGACGCCGCGUGCACGAUGGAGGCCGGAAGGUUGUAAAGUGCUUUUAUGACGGAGGAAGAAGCCGGGGAGGAAACGCCCCGGCGGCGACGGUACGCCAUGAAUAAGGGGCGGCUAAUUACGUGCCAGCAGCCGCGGUAACACGUAAGCCCCGAGCGUUGUUCGGAAUUAUUGGGCGUAAAGGGCGCGCAGGCGGCCGAGCAAGUCUGGAGUGAAAUCCCCGGGCCCAACCCGGGAACUGCUUUGGAAACUGCUUGGCUGGAGUCGCCGAAGGGAAGCCGGAAUUCCUGGUGUAGGGGUGAAAUCUGUAGAUAUCAGGAAGAACACCGAUGGCGAAGGCAGGCUUCCGGCGGACGACUGACGCUGAGGCGCGAAGGCGCGGGGAGCAAACAGGAUUAGAUACCCUGGUAGUCCGCGCAGUCAACGAUGCACACCGGGCGUCCGGACAUGAGUCUGGGUGCCGUAGCGAACGCGUUAAGUGUGCCGCCUGGGGAGUAUGCCCGCAAGGGUGAAACUCAAAGGAAUUGACGGGGGCCCGCACAAGCGGUGGAGCAUGUGGUUUAAUUCGAUGGUACGCGAGGAACCUUACCUGGGUUUGACAUGCACAGGAAUGAUAUAGAGAUAUGUCAGCGCAGCAAUGCGCCUGUGAACAGGUGCUGCAUGGCUGUCGUCAGCUCGUGCCGUGAGGUGUUGGGUUAAGUCCCGCAACGAGCGCAACCCCUACCGUCUGUUGCCAUCGGGUGAUGCCGGGCACUCAGGCGGAACUGCCGGCGACAAGCCGGAGGAAGGCGGGGACGACGUCAAGUCAUCAUGGCCCUUAUGUCCAGGGCUACACACGUGCUACAAUGGCCGCCACAGAGCGGAGCGAAGCGGCGACGCGGAGCGAAGCGCAAAAAAGCGGCCUCAGUCCGGAUCGGAGUCUGAAACCCGACUCCGUGAAGUUGGAAUCGCUAGUAAUCGCGCAUCAGCACGGCGCGGUGAAUACGUUCCCGGGCCUUGUACACACCGCCCGUCACACCAUCCGAGUGGAGUGCGCCCGAAGCCGGCAGUCCAACCGCAAGGAGGACGCUGUCGAAGGCUCGCUUCGUGAGGGGGGUGAAGUCGUAACAAGGUAGCC